ACCCAGACUCCUACGGGAGGCAGCAGUGGGGGAUAUUGCACAAUGGGGGGAACCCUGAUGCAGCGACGCCGCGUGGGUGAAGGAGUGCUUCGGCAUGUAAAGCCCUAUCGGCAGGGAAGAAGGAGGACGGUACCUGACUAAGAAGCCCCGGCUAACUACGUGCCAGCAGCCGCGGGAAUACGUAGGGGGCAAGCGUUAUCCGGAUUUACUGGGUGUAAAGGGGGCGCAGACGGCAGCGCAAGCCAGGAGUGAAAGCCCGGGGCUCAACCCCGGGACUGCAUUUGGAACUGUGUGGCUGGAGUGUCGGAGAGGCAGGCGGAAUUCCUAGUGUAGCGGUGAAAUGCGUAGAUAUUAGGAGGAACACCAGUGGCGAAGGCGGCCUGCUGGACGAUGACUGACGCUGAGGCUCGAAAGCGUGGGGAGCAAACAGGAUUAGAUACCCUAGUA
rnacentral:rRNA from 1 species